rnacentral:lncRNA from 12 species
UUAGGACGUGCUGCAAAGGAAAUCAAAUUGCAGGCAGUGGAAAGAGCCAGCACUGUCUCUUACCUCCAGUACAGCUGACUCUCUGGUCUGCACUUAAUCCAACCCAAGAUAACUGUGAGCAGGUGGGAAGCACCUCAGUUUUUGUAGAUCCUGUCAGCCUGGGCCUCCAGCUGUUUGCCCAUGUACCUAAAAGGCUGAGAUAUUUCAUAUUGGCCUUACUAAAACAAGGUCUGAAAUGCUGUGACAGUUUAGGUGCCAGUGAAGGCAGUUCCAGUUUGUGAAAACCUCAGAAGGGGCUGAAGCAGCAGGUAAGUAGUACUGUUAUCUUUUCAUGGCUAUGGUUUUUGAGAACCUUUUUGUUUAAUCCGUAAUGUAGAUUACAACAUGGAAGCAAUGUUCUCACUGCUGCUUGUUGUACAGUCACCUGCUGCUAACAAAUGGUCAUGAAUUUAUACAUGUGUUUCUUUGCAAAAUUUC